UUUCUCGCUCUCUCUCAUUCAUUAAAUUAAAGCUCUCUCAUUACCUGAUUUUGUUGUCUUCCGCCGAAAUCUAUACUGGCGGAAUCUGUAAGUUUUAAUUUUUGAUGAAUGAUGAUCAUUCAAUGAUCUAUGAUGAUUUCAAAGUGAAAUUUCAAUUUCAAUUUUCAAUUUUAAAAUUCAUUACUGCCUGGCGGAAUUGUUUAACAAAUUUUGUUAUAUCAUACUAUGAUGAUUUUAAUUGUUGAAAUGUUGAUGAUUUAAAAUUUUAAAUUAUUAUACUGUCAGAAUAUAUGCUGAUGGCGGAAGUGUUGAAUUUUUUUUUUUAUAUCAUAUAACUUAUAUAGUGUUGAACUGUUGAUGAUUUAAAUUGUUAUACUGCUGCAAUUAAUCUAUACUGGCGGAAUUGUUACUGCCGGAAUUGUUUGUUAGUAAAAAUUUUAGUCUAAAAACUAAUAUGUUAAAUUAUAUUAAAUUGUUGCUACCGGAAUAGUUUGUUAGUAAAAACUAAGAUUAAAAAUUAAUAAAAUGUUUCAAAACUAAGCUAAUUUACAGGAACUUGUUGCACGACGAGUUGUUUAUGGGCACACAGAACGAAGAAGACCACGACGACGAGUUGAGGAGGUGGGACGACAGGAGCAGAAUGUGGGACAACGAGAGUCUGUGACUAGUGGUGCUUCUUCACAACAGACCGAGAUUCAGGACGAGGACGAUGGGACUAGAACGCAACGAGACUUGGAGGAAACAUUGAGGCGUUCAACACAGGACCCUGAUUACUUAGAGCAACGAGACUUGGAGAUGGCUAUUGAAACAUCAUGUAGGGAGCAUCUUUCUUCAUCUACCAAAGGAGCAUCAUCUAGUCGAGACUUCAUUGAUUAUGAUAGUGAUCUUGGGUUUUAGUGUGUUCUUUUAUCUUACUAGGAUUGUACAUUUUAUUAAUCUAGCUUAGUAAGGAUUUAAGUUAAUUAUAUACGUUUUAUGUAAGUUAAACAUUUUAUUUAU
rnacentral:lncRNA from 1 species